GACGAACGCUGGCGGCGUGCUUAACACAUGCAAGUCGAACGGAAAGGCCCUGCUUUUGUGGGGUGCUCGAGUGGCGAACGGGUGAGUAACACGUGAGUAACCUGCCCUUGACUUUGGGAUAACUUCAGGAAACUGGGGCUAAUACCGGAUAGGAGCUCCUGCUGCAUGGUGGGGGUUGGAAAGUUUCGGCGGUUGGGGAUGGACUCGCGGCUUAUCAGCUUGUUGGUGGGGUAGUGGCUUACCAAGGCUUUGACGGGUAGCCGGCCUGAGAGGGUGACCGGCCACAUUGGGACUGAGAUACGGCCCAGACUCCUACGGGAGGCAGCAGUGGGGAAUAUUGCACAAUGGGCGGAAGCCGGAUGCAGCAACGCCGCGUGCGGGAGGACGGCCUUCGGGUUGUAAACCGCUUUCGCCUGUGACGAAGCGUGAGUGACGGGAAUGGGUAAAGAAGCACCGGAGAACUACGU
rnacentral:rRNA from 1 species